CCACCAACAUUAUGUAGCGGAGCCUGGGCUGGGUGGGACAGGGGAUGGCCCUGGGUUCCCUGGGACUCAGGUCUCCUCUCCACACACUCACAUUCCUCAUUGUCUUCCUGUGCCCAUGGCUGUCCAACAUGUGUACCCUCCAGAGACAUCUCACUGGAAGUGGAGGUUUCAGAGUAAAGAAGAACAGGUCAGCUGGGAGAGGCCACCUGGGGGACACAAAUGGCCUGUUCGCUGUUUCCACCACAGAGUCUACAAUAGAGCCUCAGACAGAGGGGCUUCCCUCUUUCUGUGCAGAGGUGGGGUCCAACUCAGCAGACUGUGGACACCGUGUCCAGAGAGCACAGAGGGCCCUGAGCCACCAUGUGGACAUAGAAGGCAGCAGGCCCUUGAAGAUGUGGUUUCAUCUAGACAGUACAACCAGUGGCCUCCAUUAUGCUCUGGGGGAGAUGCUCAAGGAGGGAGGAUUUGACUAGGUGACUGGGCAUGUGACUGGUCACUGGAGUUUGGGUGGACACGUGGCCUCUUUCAUAUCUAGAGUCAGGACUGAAGACUCAGGAAUGGAUGAACUUGGACAUCAGAGAAGAAUCAACCAGCAAUGGGUGUAGAAUGUAAGCCCAGCUCAGGGGAGGGUAUCAAAGCCUGCAGGGGGCCAGGUGGGGUA